UCAGCACCAACCGGGUGCUGUCCUGUCACAUAGUUGUAAACCCAGUAAAACACCAUCGCCGCUGUUGCGCCAAGCCCUCCCGACAUAACAAGCCCAGUAUUCAGCAGAAGCAUUGCAACUCCGGCUGGUACCAACACCGGGCUGAAGAUCACCAGCAACGGUGUUGCUGCCACCAAACCGAUAACAACGGCAGUGAGUGUCAAACUGGAGAGGACGGAGAGGGACCCGGAAAAGGUUAUGGCAGUGGAGGCCUUGGCCAAUUGAUAGGAGAGGUUUUCUGGAUUUCGAGCCAUUGAUGA
rnacentral:lncRNA from 1 species